rnacentral:siRNA from 1 species
GUUGUAAACCACUUGUUGGAUGGA